rnacentral:rRNA from 1 species
GAUCCAGAGAUUUCCGAAUGGGGGAACCCACUAUCUUUAGUCGGAUAGUAUCCUUACGUGAAUACAUAGCGUGAGGAAGGCAGACCCAGGGAACUGAAACAUCUAAGUACCUGGAGGAAGAGAAAGAAAAAUCGAUUUCCUGAGUAGCGGCGAGCGAAACGGAAAGAGCCCAAACCAAGAAGCUUGCUUCUUGGGGUUGUAGGACACUCUAUACGGAGUUACAAAAGAAAGUUAUAAAUGAAGCGGUCUGGAAAGGCCCGCCAAAGACGGUAACAGCCCG